rnacentral:tRNA from 1 species
CGGAUUUGGCUCAGUGGUAGAGCGCUUGCCUAGGAAGCGCAAGGCCCUGGGUUCGAUCCCCAGCUCCGA